UCACCUACGGGCGGCUGCAGUCGAGGAUCUUCGGCAAUGGGCGCAAGCCUGACCGAGCGACGCCGCAUGUGCGAUGAAGGCCUUCGGGUUGUAAAGCACUGUCGAGGGGGAGGAAGCCGCAAGGUUGACCUAUCCCUGGAGGAAGCACGGGCUAAGUUCGUGCCAGCAGCCGCGGUAAGACGAACCGUGCGAACGUUGUUCGGAAUCACUGGGCUUAAAGGGCGCGUAGGCGGACUGCCAAGUCCGGGGUGAAAUCUUUCGGCUCAACCGGAAAAUAGCCUCGGAGACUGGCGGUCUGGAGGGAGGUAGGGGCAGCUGGAACUUCCGGUGGAGCGGUGAAAUGCGUUGAUAUCGGAAGGAACGCCGGUGGCGAAAGCGAGCUGCUGGACCUUUUCUGACGCUGAGGCGCGAAAGCCAGGGGAGCAAACGGGAUUAGAUACCCUUGUAGUCC
rnacentral:rRNA from 1 species